rnacentral:rRNA from 1 species
GACGAACGCUGGCGGCGUGCUUAACACAUGCAAGUCGAGCGGAAAGGCCUGCUUUCCCUUGUGGAUUGCGGGUACUCGAGUGGCGAACGGGUGAGUAACACGUGAGUGAUCUGCCCCCAACUUGGGUAUAAGCCUGGGAAACUGGGUCUAAUUCCCGAUAGGACUGCAGGGUGGUGCCUGUGGUGGAAAACGAUUUUCUAGUGGUUGGGGAUGAGCUCGCGGCCUAUCAGCUUGUUGGUGGGGUAAUGGCCUACCAAGGCGGCGACGGGUAGCCGGCCUGAGAGGGUGGACGGCCACAUUGGGACUGAGAGACGGACCAGACGCCUACGGGAGGCAGCAGUGGGGAAUAGUGCACAAUGGGCGGAAGCCUGAUGCAGCGACGCCGCGUGGGGGAUGACGGCCUUCGGGUUGUAAACUCCUUUCGACCGCGAGGAAGCCACCUGGUGGGAAGGGUGGUGACGGUAGUGGUAGAAGAAGCACCGGCUAACUACGU